rnacentral:rRNA from 1 species
GAUGAACGCUGGCGGCGUGCCUAACACAUGUAAGUCGAGCGAUUCUYUUYGGAGAAGAGCGGCGGACGGGUGAGUAACGCGUGGGUAACCUACCCUGUACACACGGAUAACAUACCGAAAGGUAUGCUAAUACGGGAUGAUAUAUAGAAAUCGCAUGAUUUUUAUAUCAAAGAUUUAUCGGUACAGGAUGGACCCGCGUCUGAUUAGCUUGUUGGCGGGGUAMCGGCCCACCAAGGCGACGAUCAGUAGCCGACCUGAGAGGGUGAUCGGCCACAUUGGAACUGAGACACGGUCCAAACUCCUACGGGAGGCAGCAGUGGGGAAUAUUGCACAAUGGGCGCAAGCCUGAUGCAGCAACGCCGCGUGAGCGAUGAAGGCCUUCGGGUCGUAAAKC